UACAUGGGCUCCAAGCGUUAUCCGGAUUUAUUGGGCGUAAAGGGUCUCCAGGUGGUCUGGUUAGUCAGGCGUUAAAUUCCGCUGCUUAACGGCGGAGCUGCGUCCGAAACGGCCAAACUCGAGGGAUGGAGAGGGAGUAGGAACUCACGGUGUAGGGGUGAAAUCCGUUGAUAUCGUGGGGAACACCAAAGGCGAAGGCAAACUCCUGGCCAUUUCCUGACACUCAUGAGACGAAAGCGUGGGGAGCGAACAGG
rnacentral:rRNA from 1 species